GACGAACGCUGGCGGCGUGCUUAACACAUGCAAGUCGAACGAAGAGCGAUGGAAGCUUGCUUCUAUCAAUCUUAGUGGCGAACGGGUGAGUAACGCGUAAUCAACCUGCCCUUCAGAGGGGGACAACAGUUGGAAACGACUGCUAAUACCGCAUACGAUCCAAUCUCGGCAUCGGGACUGGAUGAAAGGUGGCCUCUAUUUAUAAGCUAUCACUGAAGGAGGGGAUUGCGUCUGAUUAGCUAGUUGGAGGGGUAACGGCCCACCAAGGCGAUGAUCAGUAGCCGGUCUGAGAGGAUGAACGGCCACAUUGGGACUGAGACACGGCCCAGACUCCUACGGGAGGCAGCAGUGGGGAAUCUUCCGCAAUGGACGAAAGUCUGACGGAGCAACGCCGCGUGAGUGAUGACGGCCUUCGGGUUGGAAAGCUCUGUUAAUCGGGACGAAUGGUUCUUGUGCGAAUAGUGCGAGGAUUUGACGGUACCGGAAGAGAAAGCCACGGCUAACUACGUG
rnacentral:rRNA from 1 species